rnacentral:rRNA from 1 species
GAUGAACGCUGGCGGCGUGCCUAAUACAUGCAAGUCGAGCGAACAGACGAGGAGCUUGCUCCUCUGACUUUAGCGGCGGACGGGUGAGUAACACGUGGAUAACCUACCUCUAAGACUGGGAUAACUUCGGGAAACCGGAGCUACUACCGGAUAAUAUAUUGAACCGCUUGGUUCUAUAGUAAAAGACGGUUUUGCUGUCACUUUUAGAUGGAUCCGCGCCGCAUUAGCUAGUUGGUAAGGUAACGGCUUACCAAGGCGACGAUGCGUAGCCGACCUGAGAGGGUGAUCGGCAACACUGGAACUGAGACACGGUCCAGACUCCGACGGGAGGCAGCAGUAGGGAAUCUUCCGGAAGGGGCGAAAGCCUGACGGAGAAACGCCGCGUGAGUGAUGAAGGUCUUCGGAUCGUAAAACACUGUUAUUAGGGAAGAACAAAUGUGUAAGUAACUAGGCGCGUCUGGACGGUACCUAAUCAGAAAGCCCCGGCUAACUACGU